UACAGAGGUCUCAAGCGUUGUUCGGAUUCAUUGGGCGUAAAGGGUGCGUAGGCGGCGCGGUAAGUCGGGUGUGAAAUCUCGGAGCUUAACUCCGAAACUGCAUUCGAUACUGCCGUGCUUGAGGACUGGAGAGGAGACUGGAAUUCCACGUGUAGCGGUGAAAUGCGUAGAGAUGUGGAGGAACACCAGUGGCGAAGGCGACUCUCUGGUCUGUAACUGACGCUGAGGAGCGAAAGCGUGGGUAGCGAACAGG
rnacentral:rRNA from 1 species